rnacentral:rRNA from 1 species
UACGUAGGGUGCAAGCGUUAAUCGGAAUUACUGGGCGUAAAGCGUGCGCAGGCGGUUUUGUAAGUCAGAUGUGAAAUCCCCGGGCUUAACCUGGGAACUGCGUUUGAAACUACAAGGCUAGAGUGUGACAGAGGGGGGUGGAAUUCCACGUGUAGCAGUGAAAUGCGUAGAGAUGUGGAGGAACACCGAUGGCGAAGGCGGCUACCUGGACCGGUUCUGACGCUGAGGCGCGAAAGCGUGGGUAGCAAACAGG